UGUAAGGUGCCGGAGGUAGACGGGGUAUUUUGAUAAGAUAUUUAGGCACGUGGUGCUCUUACAG
rnacentral:tRNA from 1 species